UACAGAGGGUGCGAGCGUUAAUCGGAAUUACUGGGCGUAAAGCGUGCGUAGACGGUUAUGUAAGUCAGGUGCGAAAGCCCCGGGCUCAACCUGGGAAUUGCAUUUGAGACUGCAUAGCUAGGGUGCGGAAGAGGGAAGCGGAAUUUCCGGUGUAGCGGUGAAAUGCGUAGAUAUCGGAAGGAACAUCAGUGGCGAAAGCGGCUUCCUGGUCCAGCACCGACGUUCAGGCACGAAAGCGUGGGGAGCAAACAGG
rnacentral:rRNA from 1 species